rnacentral:rRNA from 1 species
GAUCCGAAGGUGGGGAUCUUCGGACCUGCCACUUAAGGAUGAGCCCGCGUCCUAUCAGCUUGUUGGUGAGGUAACGGCUCGCCAAGGCUACGACGGGUAGCUGGUUUGAGAGAAUGGUCAGCCACACUGGGACUGAGACACUGCCCAGACUCCUACGGGAGGCUGCAGUCGAGGAUCUUGGACAAUGUGCGAAAGCAUGAUCCAGCGACGCCGCGUGUAGGAUGAAGGCCUUCGGGUUGUAAACUACUGUCAUAAGGGAGAAAAGUUUUGGAAUUAAUACUUCCAAAAUCUGAUAGUACCUUAAGAGGAAGCCACGGCUAACUCUGUGCCAGCAGCCGCGGUAAUACAGAGGUGGCAAGCGUUGUUCGGAUUUACUGGGCGUAAAGGGUACGUAGGCGGUAUCGUGUGUCGGAUGUGAAAUCUCACGGCUCAACCGUGAAAUGGCAUUCGAAACUGCGGAACUAGAGUACUGGAGAGGAGAGCGGAAUUCUUGGUGUAGCGGUGAAAUGCGUGGAUAUCAAGAAGAACGCCGACAGCGAAGGCAGCUCUCUGGACAGAUACUGACGCUGAUGUACGAAAGCUGGGGUAGCGAAGAGGAUUAGAUACCCUCGUAGUCCCAGCCGUAAACGUUGUGCACUUGGUGUGGGAGGUGUUAUCCCCUUCCGUGCCGGAGCUAACGCGUUAAGUGCACCGCCUGGGGAGUACGGCCGCAAGGCUAAAACUCAAAGGAAUUGACGGGGGCCCGCACAAGCGGUGGAGCAUGUGGCUUAAUUCGAUGCAACGCGAAGAACCUUACCAGGGCUUGACAUGGGAAGACUUCGGUCUAAACCAGUGAAGGUUGGUUGUAUCCACACAGGUGCUGCAUGGCUGUCGUCAGCUCGUGCCGUGAGGUGUUGGGUUAAGUCCCGCAACGAGUGCAACCCCUGUCGUUAGUUGCCACCUGAGGAGAAAUCCUCAGAGCACUCUAACGAGACUGCCCGUGAUAAGCGGGAGGAAGGUGGGGAUGACGUCAAGUCAGUAUGGUCCUUAUGCCCUGGGCUGCACACGUGCUACAAUGGAUGGUACAGAAGGAUGCGAGACCGCGAGGUGGAGCCAAUCCCCAAAGCCAUCCUCAGUUCGGAUUGUAGUCUGCAACUCGACUACAUGAAGCUGGAAUCGCUAGUAAAGGCGUAUCAGCUACGACGCCUUGAAUACGUUCCCGGGCCUUGUACACACCGCCCGUCACAUCAUGAGAGCCGAUUGCACCCGAAGUCGCCGGGCCAACCUUAACGGAGGCAGGCGCCGAAGGUGUGAUUGGUGAUUGGGAUGAAGUCGUAACAAGGUA